AUGGAUGGGCUUCCCGGAGGAGGUGGCACUCGCAGUACCAAGAACACGGCAGUGUUGCCCAAUGGAGAGAAGGACACAGGGCAUUGCAGGCUGUUGAGAAUGGCCCAGCUCACCGUCAUCACUGCUGAGGCAGCAUCAGAGAGGAUGAAAUGGAGAAAAAGUGAAAUCUCAAAAAGUAUCCUCAGACCUCCAGGGACUAAGCCACUCAGAAAACUGGCUCUUCAGCAAAGUGAUCUAGGGCUAAGCGGGAUGCUGCCAUCUCUUCUGCAGCUCAGACCUGGAUCCCCACCACGAAGGCCAGUCUGUUGGUGGGUCAACACGUGCUUGGAACCAUCCCCAGUCUCCUCUGAAACAACUUUCUAAAUCCCCUCAAUAACCCCAAGAAGCAGGUGCUAUUUACCACCCCUGCUGCCCAAGUGGGAAAACUGACGUUCCCCAAGGUCACCUCCCUAGGUCACCCAGUUUAUAAGCGGCAGAGCUGGGUAACAAAUCCAGGGGGAGAGAGCCUGCCCCUCGACCCCCUCCCCCUCCUGGAGGCACCACUCUUUACCCUCCAAUCACGACACAUGUUGGGCACCCCCGCCCCCACUUCACAGGUGUGCCCACAACCCUGUACACACACCACCACACACUCAUGGGAGGUUUGCAUCUUCAAACAGGACCCUGUGGAGAGGACAACUGUUGGCCUGUAGAAGUGAGUAUGGAAGUAGAGACACUUCCAUGUCUGAGGGCCUUCCAGCCCCAUGGAUGAGCACCACGCUGCAGAAGUUAUCAGCCAUGAGUCACAGGAGGGGAAGUGAAUCCUGAAUUAAUCAUUGUUGACUAUGGUCCUGCCUCUGCAUCUUUGACCCCUGAUGGGAUAAACCUGCUUCCUCUUAGCUUUUCAUGUGUCCUGGACACUGCACAGCCUAGACAUGACCAGAGAAACCUGUCAGAAACUGGAACCAGAAGAGCAAUUUGAAGGGAGGGCAGGAGAGAGCCCCGUGGAUACAGUGGCAGCGUUUCCCCAGGGUCACGGCAGUGCACCUGCCCUGCUUCCCCAGGCUUACUUGUGACGACAAAGCAUGUCUGGCUGGGGGUGUUUAUAUUGGUCUUUGCAAAAAUGUUGAAGAGCAUCCAUCACCAGUCUGACAUGGAUGAUGUAAUAAAGUUUCAUGACAGAUGUUUGCCAUGAUUUUUUGAAAUAGUAGAUGAAGCUGGAGCUGAUAAUGCUGAUGCCCAAACCUUGGAACCAAUGCUGGCCUCCUGACAACUGAAGAUAAUGUGUCUGUGAGAAUAACGGCCGUUAUUUAUUGUCAGCUGACUCUCUGGGUGCCCCGGGGUCUGUGUCCUAAACACAUCACACACAUCCUGCUUUCAGCCUCCCUUAAGGUAGGUGCUGGCAUUAGCCCCUAUUUUGCAGACGGGGACUCUGAGGCACCAAAUACUAAGGGACGAAGAUAAUUACCUUCUUCAAGGCUGUAUUCAUCAGUGUCAGUAGUGGAAGAAGUUCCCAGAUUCCUUUCCUGGGCUGCAUGUUCAUCCCCCAGUCACGGCAGUGUUUGCCUCAUUAGUAAUUAAAGCCUGCCUCAUUCUCGGGAGCAUCUCCUGGGCCAAACUAAAGCCACUUCACCUGGGAGUUUGCACCUCCUGGGGGAUGGGAGAGUCUGUCUAUGACUCACUGAUGGGGUCCAGAAGGCUGGUCCCCUGCCUCAAAUUGGGAUCCACUCUGUGUUACAGAGCUCAGCUCUCCCUGUGGGACUGGGCUCCACAGAGACCCCUCUUCACUCAGCUUUUCCUCCGGCCCCACCCAGAGCCUCUCCCUCCCUCCCUUCUCCUGGGAGCCCUCCCUCAGGAAAGUAUUUAUACAAGAACCCCCACCUCAGGUACUCUUUUCAGGAAACCUGACUAAAGCAAUGGCUGAGCCCCAGAUAAUAGACGCACCGUGGCAUUUCGCUAAGGGCCCUACCAGGGCUGACAUUCAGCCCAAACUCUGUGCGCCAAGAUAUGAAAAGGGUGGGGGAGGGGGGCGCUUUUCCUCAUUUGCCCAAAGUCACUGACUUUGCUGGAAUUUAAAACCCAGGAGCUCUGGCUUCAGAACCUCCCCCCAUCUCUCAGUCACAGGCUGAUGCUGCCCUCAUGCUAGAAUAAUACAAAGUCUAAAGUGGGGGGGGUGAGUGCCAGCCAGAAGGUGCCCUUGUGACCACCGCCCUCAGCAAUCACAAACUUAUUGAAUAGUCUGUUCAAAGAACCAUGUUUCUGACCACCUCUGAUACUUCACACCCCCUAUAGCCCCCACACACAAUGACAGGUCCCCUGUGACCUCAACACCACCUCCAAGUCAGGGUGUUAAUGCGGAUACAUCACUGCCCUCCAACCUCAGGGCCCCC
rnacentral:lncRNA from 1 species